GGAUGUAGAAUGUGUGUGGUGGAUGCAGAGUUCGCGUGUUAAGUGGAUGCAGUGUGUGUUUAACGGAUGCAGUGUGUACAGUGGAUGCAGAUUGAGGUGUAUAUUAGAUGCAGAGUGUGUGUUUGUGUAGUGGAUGUAGUGUGUGUUUAUAGUGAAUGCAGAGUGUGUAUGUGUGUUUGUGUAGUGGAUGUAGUGUUUGUGUGUAUUAAAUGCGAUGUGUAUAGUGAAAAUGGAGUGUGUGUUUGUGUAGUGGAAGUAGUGUUUAGUGAAUACAGUGUGUGGAUGCAGAGUGUGUCUUUGUGUAGUCGAUGUAGUGUGUGUAUAGUGACUACAUAGUGUGUGUGUGUGUGUUUGUGUAGGCACUGCAGAGUGUGUGUUUGUGUAAGGAUGUAGUGUGUGUAGUGACUGCAGAGUGUAUAUUUGUGUAAGGAUGUAGUGUGUGUAAUUUUUAGUGAAUAUUGUGUAUAUAUGUUAGUGUAUAGUUUGUAUAAAUGUUAGUGAAUAGUGUGUGUAAAUGUUAGUGUAUAGUGUGUGUAAAUGCUAUUGAAUAGUGU